UGUUGGGUGGAAAAUUGGGAUUUCUUUGGAUAAACCUACUAGCAAUACAAGCAUUGCCUUAAGAGUAAAGGAUCCAAAAUCAACAUAUAAGAGCGGUAAAACUGGCGGAGGAUUUGUGAUGGGACCUGCUAUGUUCACAGUAACAGAUGAUCUGAUUGUAACACCCAUAUCCCAAUUUUCCGGUCUGUCUGUUUUAAACAAAUUGAAUAUACCUUUCAAUGACAUUGAAGAGCUGAAUGUUCAUGUUGGGAAUGAGGAGGCUUCUCGACUACUGGUAGCUUCUUUUAUGUCUGAAUCUGCUCUAACUGAGACCUUUCUCCAGAAAAAGAUAAAAUAAGAAUACUAAUGGCAUGUUUACUGUAUUAUAGGAUUUGUUGGUAGUUAAGUAAGAAUCUGUGUUUUUACUUGUGGCUUUUUGUAAUUGACUAUGUUAUGGAGGAGGGUUUCAGUAUUGUAUUGGUGAUGAGUUUGCCUAUUUUGAUCUAUAUAUCUUAGUAAAACUUUGCUUUUUGUUGUUUA